UUGCCAUGAUGAGAAAAACCUAGCUCACUUUGAAAUGAAAUGAAAAGCUACAAAACUUCUGAGCAGA